rnacentral:rRNA from 1 species
GAUGAACGCUGGCGGCGUGCCUAAUACAUGCAAGUAGAACGCUGAAGGAAGGAGCUUGCUCUUUCCGGAUGAGUUGCGAACGGGUGAGUAACGCGUAGGUAACCUGCCUGGUAGCGGGGGAUAACUAUUGGAAACGAUAGCUAAUACCGCAUAACAGUAGAUGUUGCAUGAUAUCUACUUAAAAGGUGCAAUUGCACCACUACCAGAUGGACCUGCGUUGUAUUAGCUAGUUGGUGAGGUAACGGCUCACCAAGGCGACGAUACAGAGCCGACCUGAGAGGGUGGUCGGCCAACCCGGGACCGGGACAAGGCCCAGACUCCUACGGGAGGCAGCAGUAGGGAAUCUUCGGCAAUGGACGGAAGUCUGACCGAGCAAAGCCGCGUGAGGGAAGGAGGUUUUCGGAUCGUAAAGCUCUGUUGUAAGGGAAGAACGAGUGUGAGAGUGGAAAGUUCACACUGUGACGGUAUCUUACCAGAAAGGGACGGCUAACUACGUG